CUUGCACCGGGUGGAUGAGUGGCGAACGGGUGAGUAACACGUGAGUAACCUGCCCCUGACUUCGGGAUAAGCCCGGGAAACUGGGUCUAAUACCGGAUACGACUGCCGGACGCAUGUCUGGUGGUGGAAAGUUUUUUCGGUUGGGGAUGGGCUCGCGGCCUAUCAGUUUGUUGGUGAGGUAAUGGCUCACCAAGACGACGACGGGUAGCCGGCCUGAGAGGGCGACCGGCCACACUGGGACUGAGACACGGCCCAGACUCCUACGGGAGGCAGCAGUGGGGAAUAUUGCACAAUGGGGGAAACCCUGAUGCAGCGACGCAGCGUGCGGGAUGACGGCCUUCGGGUUGUAAACCGCUUUCAGCAGGGAAGAAGCGCAAGUGACGGUACCUGCAGAAGAAGUACCGGCUAACUACGUGCCAGCAGCCGCGGUAAUACGUAGGGUACGAGCGUUGUCCGGAAUUAUUGGGCGUAAAGAGCUCGUAGGUGGUUGGUCACGUCUGCUGUGGAAACGCAACGCUUAACGUUGCGCGUGCAGUGGGUACGGGCUGACUAGAGUGCAGUAGGGGAGUCUGGAAUUCCUGGUGUAGCGGUGAAAUGCGCAGAUAUCAGGAGGAACACCGGUGGCGAAGGCGGGACUCUGGGCUGUAACUGACACUGAGGAGCGAAAGCAUGGGGAGCGAACAGGAUUAGAUACCCUGGUAGUCCA
rnacentral:rRNA from 1 species